GGUGAGGUAACGGCUCACCAAGGCAACGACGGGUAGCUGGUCUGAGAGGAUGGUCGGCCACAUUGGGACUGAGAUACUGCCCAGACUCCUGCGGGAGGCUGCAGUCGGGAAUCUUCCGCAAUGGACGAAAGGCUGACGGAGCGACGCCGCGUGGGGGAUGAAGGCCUUCGGGUUGUAAACUCCUGUCGGGGUUCACAAAAAGACCUGUAGUUAAUCGCUGCCGUUUUGGAUUAGGCCCCAAGGAAGCACCGGCUAACUCUGUGGCCGCAGCCGCGGUAAAACCGAAGGUGGCAACGUUGCUCGGAAUUACUGGGCAUAAAGCGCACGCUAGCGGCCUUGUAAAUGUGGUGGGAAAACCCCCGGCUCCACCUCCGAAUCUCAUCGCAUACUGGUCGGCUCAAGCUUGAGAGGGGACAGUGGAACUCCUGGUGGAACGGUGGAAUGGCUAAAUAUCCGGAGGAACGCCCGAUGUGAAAAGCACUCUCUGGCUCAAUGCUGACGCUGAAGUGCGAAAACUAGUGGGAGCGAACGGGAUUAAAUACCCCUGUAGUCCUACGCCUAAACGAUGGGCACUAACUAGGCGGGAUUCCUAUGUCCUUCUGUGCCACCAUUGUGUUAAGUGC
rnacentral:rRNA from 1 species